GCGGGUUUAGCUCAGUUGGUAAGCUUCUAAUCUCACUCAACACUACUCAAACAACACCGUCUAACAAUCUUCUUAGGGAGAGCAUUCGACUGAAGUCACACUUCAAUCAAUAAAUCGAAAGGUCGUGUGUUCGAUCCACACAAACCGCA